CAUGUACUCCCUUCGUUCCGAAUUACUUGUCGCGGGUAUGAAUGUAUCUAGAUGUAUUUUAGUUCUAGGUACAUCCAUUUCUGCGGCAAGUAAUUUGAAACAGAAGGAGUAGUAA
rnacentral:pre_miRNA from 1 species